rnacentral:rRNA from 1 species
AUGGCCCGCGACGGCGCGUCGGCGGAGCGGCGCCGGGUGGCGCUGCGGGUCCUGCUCGCGCGCGGCGAGGGCUCCUCGUCGUCCUCCCCGCCGCCGCGGGGGCCCGAGGAGGAGGCGCGGCGGGGCAAGCAGCAGUGGCUCGCGCUCCGCCUGCGCGACCUCGGCUGCGCGUCCGCCGCCGCCUCCCGGGCCCACGCGCCCGUCGCCGCCUCGGCCUCCGUGCGCCCGGCCCCGGACGCGUUGGAGGAGGGCGAGGAGCAAGAGGGGGAGGAGGAGUGGCGCGGGGCCCGGCAGCAGCGGCGGCGGAGGCGGAGGGAGAGGAGAAGCGCGAGGGGCGCGGGCGGCGGAGGCCUCGCGGGGGCGGGCGGAGGGGUCGCCGGGGACGUGUGGUGCACCUGCACCCCGGGGAUUCCCUUCGCCGCCGAGGCGUCGUCCGUGGACUGCGUCGUCGCGCGCCACCACACGGCAGCUCCAGGCCGCCGCGGGGACGGGGAGAGGCGACACCGGGAGAGGACCGCCGAGCAGCGGGCGCGCAGGGUCACCAUGCGGGAGCACAUAUCCUCCUCCUUCAUGGACUCGCCGCCGCGCUUCCACAUGCCCUUCCACGACGCCGACCUCCUGCAUUCAGGCCGCCACCGCCACGCCCACCCCUACGACAGGACCGACCAAGAGAUAAUGAUGUUUCGAACGAGACUACUGUUGGGAAGAAUGGGCAUGUAUGAUCAAUACCAGGAUUGGCGCCUUGAUGUUGAUAACAUGAAUUACGAGGAGCUACUCGCCCUCGAGGACAGGAUCGGCUAUGUAAGCACAGGGCUGCGCGAAGACGAGAUCGUCCGCGGCCUUAGGGUGGGCAAACACCUGGCGUUCGACCGCAAGCAUUUCUCAACAGAGAUGGAGCGGAGCUGCAGCAUUUGUCAAGAAGAGUUUGAAGCAAGCGAAGAGAUAGGGAGGCUGAGCUGCGGCCACGGCUACCAUGUGCACUGCAUCAAGCAGUGGCUCUCCCGGAAGAACGCCUGCCCACUUUGCAAGGUCGCCAUCUCAAAACCAUGA